rnacentral:rRNA from 1 species
ACGGAGUUUUCGGACAACUGAUUGGGUUACUUAGUGGCGGACGGGUGAGUAACGCGUGGGUAACCUGCCUUGUACAGGGGGAUAACAGUUGGAAACGGCUGCUAAUACCGCAUAAGCGCACGGCAUCGCAUGAUGCAGUGUGAAAAACUCCGGUGGUAUGAGAUGGACCCGCGUUUGAUUAGCUAGUUGGUGAGGUAACGGCCCACCAAGGCGACGAUCAAUAGCCGACCUGAGAGGGUGAUCGGCCACAUUGGAACUGAGAGACGGUCCAGACUCC